rnacentral:miRNA from 1 species
CUGGGCCUUCUUCCUGGUCCCCUGCUUCGUCCUCUGUCCAGAUGUUAAGAGGAUGACGGUGGGGGCUGGUGAGAUGGCUCAGUG